rnacentral:lncRNA from 1 species
CUCUACAUCUGUAUCCGUGAUGCAGAACAGCCUUGUGCCUUCCUUGUUUUUUCUGUUCUCUCCUCCCUGAAAGGAAGUCUGAAACUGAAGCCAAAUGUGUAAGAGGGCUCUGGGCCAACCUGGGUACAGUGAUGAUGCUCUCAAAGCCAGCAUUGCAGCCCUGCACCUGAGGCUCUGCCUGCACCAGUGGCUGCUUCCAUAGGGCUGCAGUGCCAUGGCUGCUGUGGAAUGCUCAGAUUUGGAUUUCUUUCCCCAUUUUGCACUAUUAACUGUGAAUUCUCAUCUAAAAUGUAUAACGUUCCUCUCCUAUCUCCAGCAAAGCCUUGAUUUCUGCCUGGAUCUGGGGCUCGGCUUCUUUUUGCCUUUUUAAAAGCAGUUCUCCUGUUCUGGGCCUGGUUUUGCUCAUUUUUUUAGUUAAGGUAUUAUAGAAUGUGACUAUUGGAGGCACGUGACUUCAUACUUCUGAAUGAACUCAUCAAGAAUGGCUUAAGUCAAUAAUUGCGUAAAGUCUUAAUGCAAAGUUGAAGCUGAGCGUGCUUUAACAAGAAGCUUUCAUUCUUGCACAAAGUUUUAAUUAGCUAUCCUGUCCAUCUUUCCAGUUCAGUGCCUCAGAAAGGACACAGAGUUCUUCUUUAUGGACCAACGUUUCCAUUAAUUCAAGGGGUUUUUGUGUUGCUCUUUUUUUGUUGUUGUUGUUGUUUUUUGUGUGUGCAAGAAUUCAGAUAGAAACCUUUGAGGCUCCAGCAAACAUAGAAGAGAAAAACAGAAAGAAAGGAAGGCAAACCCCAUUUUGUGUGCAUGUACGGUACAAGCAAGCUGUGAAAUAGACUUGCAGUCUCACUAUUUUGGGUUUGUAAUGGACUCUUAACCUGUGCUUCACUGCUAUUGUUACUGGAAUUAAGCAAUGUUACAAAAAUAUGAGUAGCUUGUAGGGCAAGAAAUCCCAGUCCAAAGAGGAAGCAAACUUAAGAAAAUGCUUUGGCUGCAGAUUUUUUUACCUUAGUUCAGAGUUGCUUUGGGAUAUGUUCUGGUGUGCAUCCUUACUAAGGCAUUGGUACUACUACAGAAGCAUACUUCUGUAGCUGCAGUACUUUCUGCUCACUCUUGAAGUAACAUGAAAGAGAUGAAAAGUAUGUACACACACGCACACAAGGACAGACCCCCUGGUCCUGCAUGCUUCUACACAUUAGGUCACUGCAGAUAGCAGACUAGGUAUGUUUUUCUUCCAGUCCUGCUAGCUGUAUGAUAGUCCGUUUGGGGUCAGAAGGAAGAACAAUUGUCCUUUACAAAGAAGAAAAGCCAUAGGAAGUAGAUUGAGAGUUCUUGGCAGAGCAGGUAUUACUGGGACAUCACUUCGGGGCUCGGAGGCAUUACUGGGAUUUCAAGGUGGCUGUUGGUGCUGUGUGUCCUUCGGCAGCUCCGAAUGACUUGAACUAUUCUGUCCAUGCAUGGUUUGUGCAAACAGAGUAUGAGUACCAGACUAACACAGCUCUCUGAGAACAGUACUAUUUCAGCAAUAUUCAUCACCAGCUCAUCCUUUGGAGUUCCAAUGCUCUUCUGUAAUUUCAGUGUUGUCCUGACGAGAAUCAUAAUGUUAUAAAAUAGACGGCAUAUAAAUGUUGUUAUGCUUAUAACGAACACAGCAAGGUAAGUACGAAUGUGCUGUUGUAAGGCUGGAGCUUCAGCAGGGGCUUCUUUAGCAAGGAGGGUGAUAAAAGAGAGUAUCUGAAGAAAGGAUGGGAUUCCAAAUCCAAAGGUGAACUUAACGAUCUCAUAUUCAGGCCAUGCAAAUAAUGGAUCUAGUUGGCAGUAUGUUUUCAAGUGGUAGUUAUCUGUGCCAACCAGCACUGCUUCCAUCACUGACAAACAGAAGGCAUACAGCAGUACACAUCCGAUGCACAGCAUGGGACGUUGGGUUACUUUGCUCAGAGCAGUCGUUGGUGGAAAUCUCUUCAGUAACAGCAUGAGAAGCAUCAACACCAAAGAGUGCUGAGAGCUGAAAUAACUGAAGUUGAACAGAAAUGACAGAACGGUGCAGGCGAGUUGGGUCACUGUGAUGUAGUCAGGUCUGUUGAUGACUGUAAAUGACAACAGAAUCUUUGUAGUAUUGCUGAUGGUGAAGUGUAGGAGAAGUGAAUCUAAGUGUUCCAUGGCUUUGUUCUGCAUGUAAUUCUUUAUGAAAAUGGCCAAAAUGCACACGGCAGCUAUCAGUCCUGCUGGCACAAAGAAGGCGAUGUAGCAGUGCAUGAGUCUCGAGAUGACGUUUUGAGAAGCUAUGAAUGCUUGGAUUUCUUCCAGGGAGGUGGAAGCCAGGCUCUUGCUUGGGUAGCUGAUCCACGUCAUGUUGUGAGCACUCAUCCUUGCUGCACAACGCGCUCGUUCCUGCCCGGGGGAGUUAGGAACUGAAAUGAAGAAGGAAGGAGAAGAAAGAGGUGUUAAAGUACACUUGGCAACAUCUCUUCAUUUGUGCAUUGCACACUUUGCAGAAAAUCAUUAUUUUUUGCACGUGCUCAAGCAUGAGAAAAUGAUCAGCAGUGCCUUAUAAACCUCCCAAUGAAGUUCUGCCGUAGAGCCGUUUUUGCAGCUGAGUUCUGAACUCCUGAAAGUGGAGGAAUUGAACAGUAAGGCGAUGUGCUCUGAGUGACCCCGGGAUGUGUCGAUACAGUAAUUCUGGUACCUCUCUGUGUUUGGAGGAUCCUUCUGAAGCCAAAAAGCUUCAUAGGGAAACAUUGUAUGUACUCAAGAAAACCCGGUGUAAUAGAUACAUGUAAAUGUGUUUUAUAGACCACCAAAAGCCUAACACUUUCUUGUGCAGUUGGUUCAGCAAACAGCAGACUCGGUAACAGUAACUGAGUGCUACACUUGCAGUUGUACUCCAUGCAUCUUUGCUCCAACUGAUUCCGGUGAUUUUAACUCUUACAGUGGAAGUAACUUUAAAUUGGUAGAAGUUGAUAAAGAUACAUGGACGCUUUUAGGCGGUGCUCAUUAUAGAUAAGUCAGCGUCUUAAUGCUGUGUGGCAGUUCGUUUGUGGUUGUUACCUCUGACACUACUUCACAUUUCUGAUAUUUUUAAUCUCUCCUCAAAAUUGGAAUUCUAAUACUUUAAUUCUAAAAGUUGACUUAUCGAAGUGCCUCUGAUUAAGUGUAUAUAUAUAAUCUUAUGUAAUUAUAAUUGCAUUUCUAUAAAACCAUAGUUAUGUUUUGAUUAAGCAGUGUUCUUUCCCUCUCCUUAAAGUCAGAGUUUUCCCUUUCUGGAGGUGCUGCUCCCGGGCAGGAAUGCAGGACAUGCACGGGGAGGUUCUGUGCCACAAAGGAGCAGUUGGCUUUGGUCAGUGUGGAUUUAGAUGCAGAGUUUUUGAGGAUGAAGCCCAGUAUGCUGGGCUUUAAAUUCCAGACAAUUCCUCAUUAAUCAAGCAGCUGCGAUGCAGUCCGCUCCCCUUGGCUCUGUGGCUGUUCUUUUAUGUUGACCUGCAAUAAAAGUGUUUGACCGUGCUAUGUAGUCAUUGCUGCCAUGGAGCUUGUCGGACCUUCUCCUGGCUUCCAUCUGCUGCUUUGAUUUCUCUUCAUUUCCUGGAAAUCUAAAGGCCACCAAUGUCUGACUUCUACAAUGCAUCUCUUAAAUACUGAGGAGAAGUCUCCUCAGUGUAAGCAGUGGAAGUCAAAUUUUGACCUUCCAUUAAAAGAGGGGUGUGAAGCAUAGCCUGAUCCUGUGCUAGUACUGCAGAGGAUGUGAACCACUUGAGCAUCCCCAGAAACCUUCCUGCUCUUACGGGAAGCCAGCAUCCCACACAGUACUUUCAGGCAGUUAGGAAACACCUCUGCUUUGAGCAGCUCUCCUGCCAGAGUCUCCAGGGGUCACCUUCCAGUCCCGUUAGCCCUGGUGCAGGACCAAGUACUUCCAUGGAGCUCUGGCUCUGUGAGGGUUUCCAUUGUGUUCCUGACAGCUUCCACCCCAGACUGCGCUUGCUGGUCUUGCACAGCAUCUCAGAGUAGCAGAAUUGCCAAGGAAACAAAGGAAGCAACUUCAGGUUUCACAGGAAAUCAUAUGGCCUUCCACCAGAUUGCAGGAAAAACAAGGUGCCAAAACCUGUUGAGAUGUGCUCAGAGUCUGACCUUGGUUCUCAUACUGGGGUCAUCUUUGACCAAAGCAAGGUGUAUAUACAUAUAUUCUUAAUUUCCCCUUCACUUCAGGGGAAAAUAACAGUGCAGCUGUAGAAGUUAAAGUUUUGACAAAAGAAAAGAUUCUGGAUGCAUUGCCUUACUGGGAAUUCCAGCAAAUUAUCUAUAUUAACACAAUCUUGCCGAAGCACCGAGCUGUUGGCAGCUCUGCAGUGUUCAGUCUGUAUGUGCAGGGUGUUUGCUGGAAGCCAGUCAAGUGUUCAUGCAGAAGAAAAAUAGCUCCAUUUUCUGUUGAUCAUUGCUAGCAGUUGUAAUGUAUUCUGAAAUCCUGCUGGUUAGUCAAAUAAGAUUAAAGUUUAUAGUGCAGAUAGUUACUCUUUCUUAAGUUAUUCCAAGCACUGUCUCUAUUCUGCUUUUAGAAAGUCACAAUGAUAAUGUCAGACUAUAUUUUAUUUGGUUUUGGUGCCCCACUAAGUAUUUGAAAGAGAGCAAAUGGCAGUUUUGCAUUCUGGGUGUGCUAGGAAAGACUUGUGUGCCCGUGGUUGCAAUCAAACAUGCCUAAUACUCCAUGUAAGCUAAUAUUGGUAUGCUUUCUCUCUGCAGCACAUUCACGCAGAUAUAUAUUCCUGCUGUAUGACACCAUCCCCUAAUACUGCUUGUUUUCUGCCAUGUCUUGUCUCCUUAUACCUACUUGGGGAAAUGGCUCUUAGCAAGGGGUGCUGCUCGUCACCUCCUGAAGUUGCUGUGUUAGCCCUUCUGGCUGAGCCAUGGCCAGGCCCUGCCAGCAGCCACCCCAUCCCUCACAGCCCCUGCAGCUGGGGCUGAGUAAAACUGGGACAGAUGGUAUAACCUUUCUGUGCAUCUGUUUGUAUGGGAGGGGACAGCUUUAGAGAGCCCUUCAGCAUCAGUGCUCCUCUACCAUAGGAAACAACUGUUAGAAAUUCUAAGUCUUGACUGUUUUGAAAUGUUCUCAACAUUCUAAGUUCAUUCCUUGCACUGAACUGAAUGUGGCUGCUCCCAGCAUGUCAUGAUUGUGCUGUGCUUGCUGGGCCUGGCCCUUUUCUGCUUCCUGGAGCUGUCAUUGUGCCCUGUAAACGCCUCAGGAUGUGAAUGAGUUCUUCCUCUCAGCUUAUCAGGGGGAGAACUGACUUCAUCAUUUCUAUUUAGGCAUUGGUGACUGAGGCCAGUAUCAAAAUUUCCCAUUACAGCUGUCGUACAUGGAAGCUGUGGCAGAACUCAGGCCUUUUCCUCAGGUUAAUUAAUGAGGGAAGCUCACAACACACUGUUUGCAUCGUGGUUUCCUGCAUUGCCUUUCUCUAAAUGCCCAUCCUCUUCCUCACCUCUGCCCCCAACCCCCAUCUUUGUUUUAAUUGAUGAUCAUUUGCAUGCUGUUAAUCAUUUCAUAGGGCUUCAGUUCUUGUUCUCUGGGGUUUGUCUCUGGCACUGCUUCCCCACUCGCGUCCACCCUGCCUAUUGUGCCGGAGAUUGAAGUGAAUACGUUUGAUUUCUACUUUCUGAAGCACAGCUAAUGCAUUCUGCUUCACUUCCAAUAGGCGGAGCUGAGGAAAUGAGCACAGUGUUCAGGAGUAGUUGAAAAAUAGCAAGUUGUGAAAAGCAGCUUUCAGUACUGAGAGGACCCAGCCUGCAAGGUUCCAUUGCUUUCUUACCCCCUCAUGCACUGGCUGGUUAACUGCUGCAGAUGGAGAGCUGGUCUCAAGGAAACUUCUGCUUAUUUAAAGUCUAGAGAGAAGAGUUCCUAAAACAGGGAGUUUCUUGCUGGCAGCUGAGCUCUCCCUCUAUAAAAAGCUUGGGCAGGGCAGUCGGUCUGCCAGCAGCUUGGAGAAGGAGAGAAUUCUUUCCCCCCAUGAUACAGCAAUGCACACAGCACCCGUUGUGUGGCUGGGCAUGGGCUGCACCGCCCUGCGGAAACGAUGGUGGUGCUUUGGGCUGGGGGGUUAACAUGUGUGAGUUUGUCCUUCCUGUUCUGGGUAGGUCUGCCAAGUGGUGGAAAAAAAAGAAAGUAAAGGGGGGAGGGGGGAUGGUUGCAGUGAAAUAUCAUCUUCAUUUUUCUUGUAGUGUCACCAUGACAGAAUUCCUAUGCUUUGGAAAGUAUUUGAGGCUAAAUACUUCAGAAAUCCUAAUGGCAGCUUCUGAAAAACUGAAAGCUUUUCUUUUCCCUUUCCCAGAAUGUGAAUCAGCAAUAACUGAGCAUAAUCUACACCAGCGCUGCGGAUGUGUUUCCUGCCUAUAGAACCCUUACAGCACUGUUAGGAUUACCCAAAAAUGUCCAUCCUUUAGCAGACUGCUCUCAGGGAAGUGCUGGAGUCUCUUGCCCACACCACUGAAUGGGAUUUCAUCAUCUAUCCAUCAUCAGUUCAGUGGGAGUUAUGCAUUUAGCAGAAAGCAGCUGUCAGAUUCACUCUGUUUAAUGCUCUGCUUUAUUCAGCUUUACGAGGGUGUUUCUCAGAGACACGAUUUUGAUUCGUCUCGUUCAAAUCUCGUUAAAGAAGCAAACAUUAAAAACUUUAUAAAAGACAGCCACUGCUUCACAAUUUGAUCCUCUCGUGAUGAAUAAAACAUUGCAUAUCCGAAGUAAGAUAAAGCACUUACCUUUCCAGGAAAAUGCUCCACAGAUACAAUUAGCCGAGCCUUUCACUGUGAGCAGCCAGAUGAAUUAUAAUUACUGUUUGGAGGAUGCAGCCCUUUCUGUUUAUGCAGAGAGCAGUGUGUGUAUAUCACAGUAACUUCUCUUGCUGCUGUAAAUCGCGAUGAAAAUGCCAGUGCUUGCUGACUACAAAAACAUUCAGUUCUGCGAGGGAAACAGGAACUGGGUUUACAUCAUUCAAACUGUACACGUUGCAUGUUUAGCAAACCUAUGAUUUCACCAUGUGACUUUAAAGUUCAAAUUAUCCUCUGCAGGGAGAUAUUUUAGAACAGAAAAGUAGUGUUUCUUGUGGCCAUUUCUGAGUCUGUGAGGCCAUCCAGUGGAAUUUCUUUCCUGCUUAUGAAGCAGUCCUACACACGUUGGCCAGCCUUUGCAAUUCCUUUUUUUGGUAAGGGUGCUGUUUUAAUUCCUAGGGCUCUUGAAAAAGAAAAGCCGGUUGAAUAAAUCCUAAGCAAAGCCCCGCACUAAAUGGGGCAAAUAUUCGACAAGAAAGCACUGUGUGUCACAGCUUAACAGUACGGUGUAUUUCUAUUUCUCCAUGGGCUCUGCCUCUUGGAACACCCCCAGUAUCGUGCACAUUCAACAGAUUAUUUUUCCAGAUGCUCUGCAAUGACCAUGAGGUGUUAAAAGCCGUGACUUUGAGUCUGUAGUAUGUUUUGAGUUGGGCUAAGCAUCAAUCUUCUUAGUGCCUGUUGAAUAGUAUUCUCAGAACCUUAGAUGGAAAUGAGCAAGAAAGGAUUGGCUUGUGAUUAUUCCAGUGCUCACAGUGUUCUUGCUUGGACAGCAUCAGCUGCACCGUGCUUCCUCAUAGGAGCACAUCCAUGGCAAAGCCCAUUUUUUUCCUAAUCUUAUAAUAAUCUGCUGUAGCUUUGAUCAGUGCUUUUUGUCCCCAUGAUGUUUUACCUGUUGUGCUUUAACAAGCUUUAUUGAAAAAUGUGUGGAAAGAGCCAAAACACUUCAACAAAAUGGAAUAAAACCAAUGUGCCAGGGUGCAGGGCUCAGAAUGGGGCUUGCAGAGUGGCUGGAGGCACAAUGUCAGCCUGAGGUUUGUACUUCCAUCUGAAAGUGAGCAUUGCUGCUGCAAGUACUUCUCUCAAACCAAUUGUGGGUUGCCCCAGGCUCUGUGAAGAAGCUGUGCUCCAAAACAGCUCUUCAGUAGCUCAGCAGCUCUGUGAGAUGUGGUUUGCUAGGAGCUUGCAGAUGUUCAGAACACCCCAACUCCCACGUGGGCUUUGUUUUUGAACAUCUUAGCAUAAACAGUUGUUAGUUGAACUGGGUGCAUUGUUUCCCUUUUGUUCUUAAUAGUGUUUCCAAAUUGCUACUGAAAAGCUUGAAGCUGGCUGGGUAGUGUACCUGUUCUGUAUGGCACAGCUGGUCUGGAGGUGUACCCAAGUCCUUGCUUCUUCUGUUGGCAUCAAUUUCAUAUAGUAAGCAAGAGUAAAUGAGUGCAAGUCAGACAAAUGUUUUACUGUUGAUUUUCCAUGAGCUAUGCAAAUUUGAAGUGCCACCUUAUCCUUUAUGUAGGGCUGCACAGAGAAUGCGCUGAACUGCAUAAACAAUCCAAUGGUUGUGCUGGAAAUGCAAGGAAAUUUUAGGAAGCGUUUGGUCCUCAACUAGGAGAUGCUAACUUGCCUUUUUGGGUUUCAGAACGGAUUAUGUUCUUACAUAGGGUAACACUGAACAGCCCUGGCGUCAGCCCAGCUCUGACAGCACAGGGUCCCUCACCAGCACUUGGUUCUGGCUGGGCCUGCCUGCUGGGGUUCAUCUGUUCCCAAUGUACCCUUUGUGACUACCAGUAAAAGAGAGAAAAAUCAGUGCUUGCACCAAAAUUUUAAGGAUGAUUCAAACUGCCCUUUAUAAAGCUUUAUUCUGAGACAAUUAGCAGUCAGUCAGGAGUAACUGGGGUGAAGAUAAGCCCUAGUGCAUCAGCACUGAGGCUGCAUUUCCUGUGUUUCAGUAGCAGCUUUUCUGCUAGUGCAAAGUGUGAAGAAGAGCUGGGAGGAAACUUGUCUUCAAGUGAGAAAAAUUAUACAGAGAGAACUAGAAAAACAGAAAGAGGAAAGCUAUCUCUUACACAUCCUGUCUUAACAACGACAACUAAACAACAAAGGGAAAGCUUGCAUCUUCACAUUUACGUUCACAGAUAUUAUUCCAUAUCACGUGUUAUUAUCCAGCUGUGUCUAAAGGAAAGAAUGCUUAUCAGACUUUGACUUGGGAGCAAACAGCACGUUACAAUUUCAGAGUACGUACAUUGGUUCAAAGAAGAACAUCAGGAAGUGUCCACAUCUAUGGGUGGAGAAGUUUGGGUACUGAGAAAUUUGUUGUCCCAAAUGGAUGCCAUAGACUGGGAGCCAUAAGAGAAACAGAGGUCAGGAAAUCAAGGUUUCCCAACUUCUUACUCCGUAUUUGGCUCUGUUGGUAUCCUAACAGCUACACGGGGUGGCUUCAGCAGCAGCCCAGGGCGUUGUUACUUUCACAGUUACUGCACUACUGAAAGAAAAGCGAGAUGGUGCUGUUGUGAGGUCAGCUGGGUCUUUUCUUAAACAAUGGAUCAAUUCAGUUCCCUUUGCUUAAGUGAUCACAGGGCACAAGUCAUGAGAGCAGUGGUAAACCAGUGUGGAGUUGUAUGAACCUUCAGAAAACUGCAAGAACAAAGGUGGUUAAAUGUCUGCUUGCAUUAUUUUAGCACUAUUUGCAUGAGUUAUGUGUUAAUUAAUGACAAGCACGUGUGUGUGCUCUCAGUGGAUAAGGUGAGUGUGGUAAUGAUGUUCUGCAUAGGGCAGAGGCAGCUUCUCUUGCCUUUCUGGUGGAGGGUUGUAGGAGAGUGGCAACCUUCCUUGAGAAGGUUAUUAAGGAAAGUGUCCCUUUGUUUUGUGAUUUGCUGUUUUGGGAUAUCCGAUGGCCAUUACAUGGAGCCAUGUGGAUUUGUGGAAUUUAAACUGUCUGCUUGGAUAGGGUUAAAAAAGCACGAGCUGGUGAUGUGGGUACAUAGGCACUGGUAUUAGUAACUGCCUGUGCCUCUGAGGCUGCUCCUAAAUCGACAUUGCUGCCUCUUAUUCUGGAAUAGCUGUGCUCUGUGCUGGGUUAUCACUGCUGUCACAUCUCAGGAUUGCUCACCCACAAUUCCCCAUUAGUGAUUUUAUGUUGGCUUAUUUGGGCAUUGUUUGUUGUUUUAUAAAUUGUAUUUUCUUAUUGUUACUCCACAGUGAUGUUUCCAUCAAUAACAAAGUAAAUCCCUCUGUAUGGGUAGAUCAUGUAGGUAACUCCCCACUGAGGGCUAAAAAUGGCUGUAUUUCCAAAUAAUGCUUUAAGGAGGGGUGGAAAACAUCUUUGUCUGACAGCAACUUCUACAAAAGAACGGGGCUCUGCGAGGCACUGCAGGUGUUAGAAUGGUUAUUUAAUUUACAUAGGCUGAGCUGAAAGGGUUUCAGAAACUUCUCUAGUAAUACUGAAUGAAAUCCAUUUCACUUUCAAUUAGGGAAACCGUAACUUAAUUAGGAAGAAUUACGAUGCUCUGGAGCUGGCUGGGAAUGGCACUUUGAUCUCUGAGCAUCUUGUCUAUGGCAGUGCUUACUACCAGAUGUUUCAGAACAAACACAAGAAACAUAUGCUUUUUUAAUAAAUAUUUGUCUUUUGGAUAAUCAGACUUCAUAGUGUGGUUGAAUAUCCUUCUGUGAGGUUAGAAAGCAAAACAAACCGUUGAGGAUUGUUUCUUGCAACAGAACUUUCUCUUGCGUACCUCGUUGUCUCAGCAGCAUUGCAGAAGUGAUGACUAAUUUUGUUUCUUCUUUCAUGUGCUUGCAGGCAGGACUUGCUGGUACGUACAUUUAUAACCAGAGACUGGUCUGAUAGUGUUUCCAUUGUGAACAUCAAUUCUUGUAAUCGUUUUAUGGACCAUACAAUCUUUGUGACAUGCAGGAGUGUUCCGUUAGUGACCACCAGGUGGUGUUUGUACAACAGCUUUGAUUCCAGAAUUAACAUCAAAAAUACCAUUUAUGUGGGAGGUGAGGUGAGAAACAAGUGUGGAAAUUCUACCAGCUUCAAGAUAAAUUGUAGCUUAAAUUUGCAAAUGGACAUGCUAAUAUUAGGGUUUUAAUUUUGUUGUAUUAUUGGUAACACAUAGACUUAUGUAGAAGUGAUAAGUCAAAGAACCUCCUAUGGAAAUCGGUGGGGUGGGGGGGUUGAUUAAAAAAAAAAAAAAAACCAACCUUUAAAUUAGGAGAUCAGUUCUGCAUUUUUAGAAUUUAACUUGAUGCAGAGUUGGGAGUUGUCCUGUAUUUUAUGGCAGCAUUGUUCCUGCUGCUGGCUCUGAGUAUGCUCACAGGUACCUUAGGAUGGCUCUAAUUGGGAACCUGUUCCUUUCCCUGACAAUCCUUUCUCCAGCCCUCUGAGUUGGGAGUGUUUGUGCUGCUGCUUAUUUCUGUCUUCGCACAAAGCAUCAUCAGGUGCUUUAAAACCAGAAAGGGAAUCCAUUUCAUCUAGUUUAAAAACUUGUUUGUUCUGGGGAACUUCUGAUAAGAAUGUUGUCUUUUUUCUUUUUUUAAGUGUUUGCAUAUUGAAUCAUUAAUACUCUGAUAAGAAUCUGGUAUUGUUUAAGUCUUUUCCUGUGGUGGUUUGUAACAACACACAAGCUGCCUGCUGAGCACUGCAAGGAAAUGUGAGCAUUUUGUGAAUGUACUUAAAGUGCCAUUCUGUAGAAGGGAGGAGUGUAAGGAAAGGGCCUACACUUCCCAGGUAAGGAAAAGACUUGGUGGGAAGGAAGUGGAGUGACAAAAUAGAUAAUAAAUCCACGCUCUCCUGUGGGAUGAGAACACAUUCAAAAUACGUCAAAGAGUUUUGAUACAUAUUGGAAAGUUAAGAGAAAUACGAUGGGAAACGUUUCACACUCAAGUCCGCACAGCUGGUUUUGUGCAUUCAGUGGCUUUCACUUGGAAAAAGCAUUGCAUGAUAUGGUUGAGAAAUACACAAGGUUUUACUUAUCAAAAAGCUGCGAGAAUUAAUCUCAGAGCACAUGUUUCAGAUUCAUCAGUGUGCUGAGCCCUUUACAGCUGCAGAAGCUGAGGCCCAAGUCAGUGCUGCUUGAAGUGCUUCGUUAAGAGAAGAACUGAUGGUGGCACUCGGCCAGACUCUGCUUUUGUUUUCUGUUGCCAGCCCUGUGCCAUGGCAGGGCAGCUCGUGAGGAGGUCUCCAGCCUGGCCAGCAGCCUGCUUUCAUUUUUAAUUAGCAAUGGUAAGGAAGUUCUUAGCUACGUACGUAUUCACAGCGCAAAAAAAGAAAACCAAAUCUUGGUUAUUGGUUUUUUUUUUUUUCAAUGUUACUUCCCCUUUUUCUGGUAUAGGUAUUGCAUUUUCUUGGUAACCUUGGUGCCUGUUUUCCUGUAAUAGAACAGCUAAGUGCUUUCUGUCUCAGUGCCAAAAUAUGGUUGUUCUCAGUGAGAUCUCUGUGUGCUCACAGACAAGUGCUGAUUCUGCUGCCACACUGGUACAGUUCAGCCUCAUGUAAACCUACUGUCUUGCCUGGAUGGCACAUUGAGUUUACAUUGAUCAGUCGGGUUUACUUGCACAAAGAGAAGGAAUCAAAAAGCACAUGGCCAAUGUACACAUUAACCACCAACUUUGUAUUUCUGGCACCAAUUUUUCUGUCCUAUUAGUUGCAGAAUUCAUUAUGCUGAAAAAAGCUGUGACUUUUUGCCCUCAUUCCCAGCUAACUUCAUGCUGAUGCAUAAUUAGAUUUUAAUGAUGUAAAAAUUAUGACCUAGGAAAUCUGAUAAUUCACCACGCCUGGUUUGACAUCCAAGUCACGCAGGUGUGAUGUUUUGGUUCAGUGAAGCAGCACAGCUUUAGCCUUGCCUGCAAGAAGCCCUUCUGUCAAAAAUAAAAAAAUAAAUAAAAAGAGCCCACACCUCUUACUGAUCAGGUAGGCUUUAACACUUUUUAUUAAGAGUCUUAGGAGUCAGUAGUUUCUUUGUGAAGCUUUGCCAAAGUCCAUUUCACACAGUUCUGUGACAUGAUAUGGAAGACCACAUCUCUUUAGUGUAAGCAGAACCAGGAAUUCUCCAGUGGUUGGUCGCUUUCUUUUCUUAGCUGAACAUUACAUCUUCAUAGACCAUCUCAAUUUGAUUCCUAAAUGGAAGCUUCUGAAACCAGGACCCCUGCUGGGUUCGUCAACACAGACCUGACUUAAACUGGCUGUGUUAAUACCUUCAGCAGAAGCAGAGACGAACAUCUUUGUUAGUUCACAGAUUUGACUUAAUUGCCUCAGCUCAUCUCUAACAUGAAGUUGAAUUUUGUAAGAAAAUAACACUGUUAAUAAUGGCACUUAACUGGUGCUUACUUUCUAAUAUCAAUAUAUACAUAUGGAAACAUACAGAGGUUUGCAUUUAAACAAUACACUUACUUUAAGAAAUAAUUUAAUAAAUUAAUUGACAAUUAUUUUUUCAUCAGUAGGCUGAUCUUUAUCUUGCAUAUGUACAGGGCUUUAUUCAUAUUUAUUUAAAUGCAAAGUAGGCAAGCCCCUAUUUACAGUCAUCAGAAACCUUCAGGUAUUGAAAUGCAGAGGCCUCAUCCUUGAGAACUUUGCAUAUUAGAGAUUUGCCCAUAAAAGCUCCUCAAUAGCUACACUACUGUGCAUUGCUUUAAGUAUUUUAGUGCACUUGCUCAUGUACUGCUUCUAUAAAUAUUGUGAAGUUCCUGCUUUGUGGGAUAUUGCUUUUUAAGAGAUACCACAUGAGAGUACUGGAAUCAAGUUCAGAAUUUAAUAGAACAGCAGCCAGUUCGUUCCAUGGCACAGUUUCUUUGAGGCAAAUGAGACAUCAAGUUCACUCUUAAAAAUACUUGAGUUUCUAUCAGUCUUGUUUGUUAAAUUAUCAGCACUCCUUGCCUAUAUGAUUGCCAUCACACUUAGUUGUAAUGUCAAAUUGUUGGAGGAAGGUUGAGUUAUCAUGAAGGAGGUAGUCUUGGGAAGUACCACAUGUACAAGGCCAUGCACAAAGGGAGCAGGAACAGGAUGAAAUUGAAUAGCACAUUUGGGUAGAGAACUGAAAGAGAUGAGGGGAAUAAAAAAAAAAGAGAUGAUGCAAGAGCUGUGGCCUGGUGAUUUAACCUGCAGAGGAAAGAAGAGAAAUAAAUGUGACAGCCUGCUUAGCAACGGAAAGUAGUUUGUCUUUGGAAGAGGGGAAAUGGACGCAGGGCAGCAGCACAGCAGUUACAGCCACCCUUGUGCUGCCUGCUCUGCCUGCUGCCCUGCCCGUGUCCCAGCUCCACCAGGCUCUGCUCACACCACGUUUGCCAGUUCCCCUCUGCUGUUUGUUUUCCUGCCCCGUGGGUCAGAAUUUCUUUAGCAGCUUUUACGUGAGAGAUGUGAUGUGGUGCUUUGGGAUGCCCAGUGUUCCCCCGGAGGGAAGAUGACUCUCUAUUUGCUCAGCAGUUCCAAGGAAAGAUUUGCUAUGAAUGUCUGUGGGCGUGAGCUUGAAUGCUUAAAAUGAGUGUAGCUUGCAAUUCUUAGAAUAUAUCUCAAGUUAAGAGAAAAGCGAAACAACAAAUGGUUACGGAAACCAAGAAGCCAGUAUUGUGUCUGCUGAGAGGCACAAAUGAGCGUGUGAAUGGACAGAGCGAUAAGGAAAGGCUUCCUUCCCUGAAGUGGUUUUAAUCAACAGGCUGGCUCUGUGAAGCCAAGCAGUGUGAUUGUGCUGGCCAGCUUUCAUGGGGAGAAACCAGCACACAAAUAGAUGACUUGCUGUGUAGGGUUUCAGUGGUUAAACAAGUUCACUGAGAUAAAAAUGGUAUUGAAAGGUAAGGAGUAAUGGAUGAGCAGGAUGUUGGUAAUGUAAGGGGUGAUUGUAUACGAAUCAGAUAAGCAAAGAUGGCUGUGAGAAGAAUGACUCAAAUGAUACUGAAAAGAGGGGAGAAGGUCUGAGAAAAGUCUGUUCCUCAUCUCCUUCCCACUUAAAACUUAACCAUUUUCCUAUGCUGAUAAAUUAUCACCAACUAUGAGAUCAGAUUAUGCAAUAGGAAAGGUCUAAUUCUGUUUUUACUCAAUGGUUUUUCUAUACCAGAGGCUCAAAACCCCACAUUUUUUUUUUGGCUGAAGUCUUGCUGAAUGAUUUGUGUUGUGACAGAUAGAGCAAAGAAAUGAGUUGUUGCAGGGCCAGUGACAGAAGUCCUGCUGUCCCUCAGCCAAUGGGAGAAUAUCAGUGUAACUUCUGUCCCCUCUGCUAUCACUAAUGCAACAACAGCUGCAGGUAGUUGUUUGGGUCAGGGUAAUUUUGUUUCCAGCAGCACUUUGUAUUUCCCAUGUUCUUCCAACACUCUGAACUAUGUUGGUUUUUUCCAUCCCCACUGUGAAAUACAGAAACUGUACUCUCGCUGUGUAUUGGUGAAUCACACUGGGAGACACUCCAUUUUUUCCCAGGUCAGCAAGAAGGUGAUGCUGAGUGGAAUUCAUACGUAUGUAGGUUGCUCCAGAUGUAAUGCCUCCUAUUUAUUUCCAUGGAAAGCACUACAAAUACAAAGAGCAUAAUAACACUACUUGGUAGAGCAAAUUCUCUGCUACCGAACUAUUUUUCAGCACGGUCACCACCAUGAGCUGUGCAUUUUUGCCAGCAAACAACAAGUGCCUGCAUGUUAUGCUUGUCAAAAUCUGCACCUGUGUGAGCGGCCACAGUCUGUCACUGCAGGAACGCAUCGCCCUCCCCUUGCUGUGCUCACACCCACUGUUUGGUCUCCACAAACAUUCAGCAAGCAUUGAUGAAUGUCAGUGAGUGCUGUAUCUUUCCACAUGGAGGAAUUCAAUUUCACACCUUUGUUUUGCACACACUUCCAAUGUCAGAUAUCACUUUGUCAGAGUGCCCUUCUGCUGCCAUCUGCCACAUGGCAACAACGUGUCACAGGUAAUUGCUGGGGAAGGUUCAGCCUCAGCUGCCAUCCCCCCAGCAUCCACCUCACAUUGCGGACCAACAAAAUAAAAUAGGAGGCAUUACUUUCGGAGCAUCCUUUAUAUUACUCCCAUCCUAAAAUCUUGUAUGCAUUGAGAGAAUAUUUUUCUGGUUUCCGAACUUCCAGUGAUCCCCGAGAUUAAAGAGAUUUCAAUUUAUUUGUAGUGAACGUAUCCCUUGAAAAUAAAACAUGUUAAUCAUAAACAUUUAUUUUUCAGAUAAUUACUGUUGUUACAUGAACAUGUGUGGACCAUAACACUUAGCCAGACAUUCUUUACUCGUUAAGUUCUGAUUUAAGUUUGUAAACCACCGUGUCCUUCAUUUUAAAAGUGGAACAAAAAUCUCUCAAUUCCCCUAGAAUUAGUUAAUAAAUAUUUUUGAAUUCCUGAAAUGCCUUAGGAUGCAAACAGCACCGGAAGAAUAAAACACAUUAUUGUUAUAGCGAGGAAAAAACUGAUCUGCCAUACGUGUUAAUAGCUUAGGUUAGACUGUGAGAAUGUAGGUCCUGGAAAUGGUAGGUUAGGGAAUUUGAUGAUAGAGAAAGAAAUUAAAUAAUUUAAUUUAUAAUUAACAUUUACUAUUUGGACAUGUUUAAUUGGGUGAUACGACCUUUAGCAAAGAUCACCCGUAUCAUCUUCAUUGAAAAAAUACUAUUUACUUCAUCAAGGAUAGCACUGUUACUUCUUUGUGCAGAAAACAAGGUAAUGCCUUUUUCCCUACAAGGUGCUGUGUGUGUUCGGUCAGGAUUUCCAUAAACUGCUUAGUGAUUUGUUCAGCCAGGAAUAUCAGAACGACGAAGACAGAGCUUACGCUGUGUAAGCAGUUCAGUGCACUGAGAGCGUUGGAUGUCACAGGUAUUACAGCACAUGGGCCGGAGUCUUACAGACCUCAGCAAACACUUAACGUUUGGAAAGUUAAGACUCUUUCAUUCAUCAAAGGCUCCUGCUGGUUGGGGCUCUCACGUUGGUGGCUUUGAGCGCCAAUGCAGCCGUAUCACAGUCUGAGUACUGCAGUAACAGAGCACAGAGGUGUUAAUGCCUACGUCAUGACCUGCUGUACUACUGUGCGUUCGUGAGAACAGCCCUGAUUCCCACAGUGGAUCUUUUUAAGCAACUGUCGCAAUUUGUUGGGAAAGUUUUUGUUAAUGUAUCUAUAAAGCAAAGGCAUUACAAAGCUGCUCGAGAAAGCCAAGAAUUUGGAUAAAAUCUUGGUAAAAUGUAAUAUCCGACUGUAGUUUUCAUCUGCAGGUCUUCCUCGUGCAUAAGUAAACGUGCUUACCAAAAGGGUAACGUAAUAGGGUGUCCAUAAGGUGAACUGUGUACAGACUGUGGCAAUCAAAAGCCUGUGCACCGAUGGAUCUAAUCGUCCAGUGUCUUGAUCCAGUGGUGUCGCCUCUUUGCGUAUCCGCAAGAUCAGAAUAAGUGCAUACAGCACCGCCACAGCCGGAACGACGUACCCAAUGAACACCAUGAUGGCAUCCGCGGCCUCUUUGUUCUGCAUCUUGGAGCAUUCGAUUAUUUUAGUGGAUACGUGGUUGCAGACGUAGAAUAGAAGGGAUGAGAAACUUGUGAGCAUGGCUCCACCCCAUAUGAACCCACAGACGUGCUUGGUGUUGUACACGCUGGACAUGUAAGUUCUGGGUAGAGCGCGCUCAAUGUAGUAGUCCAGACUGAGUAAUGUCGUGGAGUACAUGGUAACUAAAGAUGAGACGUUGAACAAAAUAAGCAAGGUGAUAUAAACUUCGUUGUUAGAAUUCCAGAUGGCCCAUUUUGUGUUGGCAAGACCUAGGAGGUACAUCGGUGCCAGAGCGUUGAUGAUGAGGCCGGCGAUGGCCAUAUUGACAAAGUAAACAUCGGGCAUCGUCAUGGUGGCUUUGUUGUACAGGUUGACCAGGACCAGCAGGCCGUUGUAGCAAAGGCCGAUUGGGAAACAUAUAAUGAGGUAGAGUAGGGAAAAGAUGGAUAGCACAAAGUGGAAGUCCUGGCAGAGAUGCUGGUCCUCGCUGUUGUCAGUACUGUUUAAGGUUUCACAGCUCCACAUAGUGAUUUCAGCUCUUGUGUCUUCUCUGCUGGUUACCAGCUUUUCUGUGGAGAAAAAAACAGUAAUAGCGUUCAGAUAUUGCAGUGUAAGUGAAAUGCAAUGCUAUGUGAGGAAAGCAUACUUAAGAUCACACAGUUCACGUCACCAAUUAAUUUAAGGUCAGGGAUGGAAAUUCUUUUCCAUCUCACUAUCAGAAAGUUAUCCGUGUCUCAGAAUCCUCAGGUGACUGGUAAAUAAGUGUACAGGUUUUCAUUUCUUAAAAGGAAAUUGGUGGCAAUGAGUUGAUAUAAGAUAUUCAGCAGAAGUCAGCCAUAAACAUUACAUCUUUAAAAGAAAUAUCAGUGCAAUGCACAUCAAUAUCAGUGCUUCUUUUAAUUAUGAAACAGUGCCUUUAUUUAAAACUAUGCAAACGUAGUUGCUGAAGAAUAUAAGAGGAGCUACAGAUCUCAGCAGUAAGAUGGAAAAUAGAGCUCUGC